CCGGCGACCGGCGCACGGGUGAGUAACACGUAUGGAACCUGCCCUAUGCAGGGGGAUAAGCGGAAGAAAUUCCGUCUAAUACCGCAUAACACCUUUAGGAGACAUCUUCUUGGGGUCAAAGGAGGCGACUCCGGCUACGGAUGGUCAUGCGUCGCAUUAGCUAGUUGGCGGGGUAACGGCCCACCAAGGCGACGAUGCGUAGGGGUUCUGAGAGGAAGGUCCCCCACACUGGUACUGAGACACGGACCAGACUCCUACGGGAGGCAGCAG
rnacentral:rRNA from 1 species